rnacentral:rRNA from 1 species
UACGAAGGGGGGCUAGCGUUGCUCGGAAUCACUGGGCGUAAAGGGUGCGUAGGCGGGUUUUAAGUCAGAGGUGAAAUCCUGGAGCUCAACUCCAGAACUGCCUUUGAUACUGAGAAUCUUGAGUAUGGGAGAGGUGAGUGGAACUGCGAGUGUAGAGGUGAAAUUCGUAGAUAUUCGCAAGAACACCAGUGGCGAAGGCGGCUCACUGGCCCAUAACUGACGCUGAGGCACGAAAGCGUGGGGAGCAAACAGG